UGUCACAGCCCAGCGCCGCUGCCCGCACGGGGGCUGGAGGCGACGCUUAGGUGGCAGCCCCAGCACCGGGGUUGAUAGUGGUGGCCACAGCCAAGCUCGAGCCUGUGCAGGCAGGGCUGAAUGCCCUACUUAGUGAGGACCUACAAUCACCCAGAAUGUGAUUUUGGACACUUUGUGAAAUCCAGGUGCAGAAACCUCUGAAGUGCACAAUGAGGAGGGAGUAGGGGAGGACAAAGAAAGGGACACAAACCAUUCAGCGAGCCAGGUGUUGUUUGAAACUCAGCUGGCAUCAAGACAGUCUUGCUAGCAGCCUCUGGCAUGGUGGCCUUAAGAGAUGCCCCUUCUACCCCUGCUAGACAUUUAACCUUGAUCAGCUAAAGAAAGAAGCGGAUCAGGAAAGAUAUGUUCUGUGAGAUCCUCCAGUCCUGUACAGGUGCUGAUCAUGAGCACAGGGAUUGGAGAAGCCAAAGAUCCUAGAGCAGGGGGAAGAACCAGGAAUGGACAGAGUGGUUACUGAAGGAAUGACAAAGGGACAGAGAGGUACUUCAGUAAUUUCACCAGCACAUAAUAUCUUUGCUCAAGCAACAAACACAGAUGUUGCAGAAAAUUAUUGUGCCAACUACCCCAAGACUCCAUACAUAGCAGCUUUUCCGACUCAUGGAAAACUCCAUUUGCUGCUUCCUGUACCCCCAGCAUCACAGAUUGCAGCAUGACAGGAACCCUUUCCUCUAAUCACUCUGUGCUAAGGGAAAAUAAGGACAGCCAUGACUUAAAAACAAGUAGUACACUGUAGUGUAACAUGAAUGAAACAUUUAAUAUGUUUUUAAUAUGCAAAUAUGUUAACUGGUUUACUUUUUUUUUUUUAAUAAGUUUGGGUCAGCCUCUUACAGUGCUUCUAUAUUUGCACUUGAGCUUUGUUUGCUGUUUAUAUUCACUUAGUUGUUUUUGAAAUUCAAAGUAUAUUUUUUGUACCAAGCAUAAAUGCCACAUUACAACAUUAAUAAGGGGUGUCAGUAACCCUUGACCGUGCAAUGACCAUAGUCAAGGUCUGUGCGCACAAAGGCACACUAAUUCAGAAAAGUAUCUCACAAUACUGCUAUGGCCGACUCUUAAAAUGAUAUUUUAUAGCCUCCUCAACCAUAUAACUCCAUCAUUGGCUCUUUUAAUAGCCCUGACUGCCUGUUCAAAGUCAGCAAAGAGCCAGUCCACCUCUCCCCUCCUGGAAGCCUUUUCCCCUUUGCCUCAGAAAUAUUAUGUAAUACAGAACAUGCAGCAAUAAUGAUAGGAAUGUUUGCCUCACUGAGAUCAAAUCUAGCCAUUAAAUAUCACCACUGAGCUUUAAAUCUACCAAAAGCACAUUCAACAGUCAUCCUGCACCUGCUGAGCUGGUAUUUGAAUCUUUCCUUGGGUCUGUUGAGGUGGUCAGUGUAGAAUUUCAAGAGACAAAGGAGCACAGAGUAGACGGAGUCCCCCAGAAUCACUAUGGGCAUGUGGGAGUCAGGGAAAAAUAUCCCUGCUAGCAGCCUUUGGAAAAAUCCUAUGUUCUUACAGAUGCAAGCAUCAUACAUCUUCUUAGUGUGAGCCGGUCAGAGCCACUAGCAUUUGCAUAACAUGGAAAAGUGCCCCUUUUGGUUUAGACACUGGCAAGAUAGCUUGUGGCCUCCAGCUCAGCUCAGGCUGCUGCUCUCUCCUUAGCUAUGUCCUACUGUGGCUCAGGCUACUCCAGCUCCACGAAGGACAGGCCCCCCGGGCUCCUCACUCUCUCAUUGGCCUGCCUACCCAGCCAAUCAGGCUGACCUGAGCCUUGGCAUCUCUCCAUUGGCCCUGGGGACUGCAAGUAUCAGGAUCCUGAUUCCAAUUCAUCCUUCCCUUUUCUUUUGGUAUUGGAUGAGGGCCAAACAAACAAACCCACAAAGUUUCAGUAAGUGACCUUAGGAGCCUGCCUGCUGCCUUUUUCACCAUCUGGAGUUUUUGUGACCUUGAUCACUAACUCUUUACUCAAAGCUUUAGUCCCAUGUUGAAGUGACCAAUCACAGUAGUUUGGUCUUUAAUACUAAGCAAUAUAAUUCCCUGGCACAUCAGACAUGGAAGAAGGUAUUUCUUGAUAUUUGAAGUGCCUACCUAUCAAGAAGUAUCCCAAGGCAUCACAUUAUCUUAAUGACUAAUGCUCUCAAUAGAGUGUCUCAUCUAGCUUCUCUCAAUUGUUUUCCUCAUCCUAUCAACAUAACUUCCCUACUUCCUGCACUUACUUGACCCAGUUGUUUUUCAGGUCCUGAGCAUUUUUUCAGGCACUGGGACCUGUGUGAAAGUGUUGUCUAUGGCUGAUGAGAGGGAGAUUUAAGAUAAGGUGUCAUGAGCCCAUUGGUGCUACUGGAACAUUAGAGCAGCAUAUUGGUGGCACCUCACACUUACCUAACAUGUAGAUGUUAAUAAAAAGAGAGGGGAAAGGUUUGUACUCGGUGAGAUUCAACAUAUCAUACUCUUGAGGAAGAACAGUAGAUACUUUUCCUAACUCUUUGGAAUCUGGUUGAGAGGAGAGAUUGAAGCCAGGUCAAUGAUGCUCCACCUUUUGUGAGCUAUAUUACUCAUACUAUGGCUUGACAGAAGCAAGCAGGAAUAGUAAAAGGUCAGGUAAAGCUUAGGACUCAGAAGAAAACAAGAUGUGUUAGUGUUCAAGCUCUGAUUAGAAACAGGAACUAUAUUUAAGAAAUCAUUACCCAGAACAGCUGGCUGGAUCAACAAUGUAGCAUGAAAAUGAUCCAAGAGGCAUCAAAUAUUAAGAAGUUUGAAUUUCAAAGGGCUUACCCACUUCUCUCUGAAAAGUUAAUGUAGCAAAGAAGCAGCUGUAGUCUACCAUUUAAAUUAAGAGGUUGUGGUUAGAAGAAAAAGCAACUAUAGAGUCUGUACUAUGGUCUCACACAGCAGUGCAGUUAAGAGCUUCUGGAUCUGUAUAGCACAGUUCCUAAGCUUUUCUGUGACUUACACUGAAUCUUACCACAGUAGUUCAGAAAAUGCAUACUUAAUAAAAGCAUAUUUUCUACAUUCUCAUGCACACAAUAUACAGACAGUUCUGUUUCUACAACAUGAGAGAACAUGGAUUAUUUAGCAUCCCAUGACAUGUAUCAAUGUAUUUCCCCCUUUUAUUUUACCAUUUAAACUACCAUUUUAGUUUCCUGCAAACAAGAACUAAAAGAAACACUUAUGCCUUCCAAUUCCACAUGCC